UUUUCUUCUUUUUUUUUCCUUUUUGCCACCAUUAUUUAAUAUUUUAAAGAAACCCGCUAAAGCAAAUUUCUCAAUUUUUCUCAAUCCAGGCAACCUUUUAACCAAGUUGCGUGAUCCACUCUAAGUAGGGAAAGCAAUUAAGGAAACCUAAUAUUAAUAUAUUUAGUAAAUCCCAAAAUCAACCUUUUUCCUAUUAAAACAGAAACAACUUUAGCCUUCCAAUCUCCUCGUUUAAAGUUGUUUCCUUUUGUUUUAAUCAAAAGGUUAGUGCAGAGAAUAAUUUUUAUAUUUCUACUCCUCUCUAGGCAUUGUAAAGAAGAAAAGACAAUAAAGAAGUACAAAAAACAAUUAUAUUCUCCACCGUCAGUUUUUGCAAAGAAAAAAGAAAAGGAGAAGUAGGGAAAUUUGUACUGCUAUAAAAGGCUCGUAAAAGUAGUUUGUCCAUCACCAUGCAAAAGAUGGCGGAAACAAACAAUAGCGUUCCUUACACCCAAUUACCGGCGGAGGACAAUAACACCUCCAGUAAUUCUCCGGCCAAAUGCCGGCGACGACCCAAAAGAGUGUCGUUCAUAGUAUUAACAGGGCUGGUGGCAGCUUUGUUACUUUUUGUGGCAGUGAAAUAUGGGAAUAACGAGGCGGAGGAUGUAAAUCCAGGGCCAGUACCACCACAAGAAACCGUGUGUAACAUGCUUGGUUCUAAUCUAAUGCCGCUGACCACCAUGAGGACGGUGGCGCGUGGGGUGGCAGAAGGUGUCUCCGCCAAGUCACGCGGUCGUUUCUUGGGAUUACGGCCGUUUCCAUGGACCAAACAAAUGUUGGCUUGGCAAAGAACAUCCUUCCACUUUCAACCUAAGAAGAAUUGGAUGAAUGGUUAGUAAUUCUUUUUCUCUUAUGUUAUUUUCAUAAAUCAGCUUUGUUUUUAUUAAACAAUAAAUCAACAGCUUAUUGAUAAUUUUAAACAUAAAACCGCCUUAUGCUUGACGAGAUUAACUAGAACUUUAUGUACAAUGAAUGGUUAUCUCCAUUCCAUUACAUGCCCAUGAAUUUUAUGUGUCUUAAUUUAAAGAUUUGACAGGACAUUACAUUACGUUUAUAGUUUAAGAAAAGCUUGGUAUUGAUAUAAAAAAAACCAUUACAGCUUCGAAUAUGGGAUACCUUGUCUUUUUCUUUGCCUAAGAUGGAUCUUUGAUUGCAAGAACAGAGUUUGAAUUACUCAGGAAAAAUAUGAAAUCGUUUUGGAACUUAUUUGCUUGUUUAUUAUUUUUUGAGGUGAACAUUAAUGAUUUAUUCUUAUUUGGCAUGUGUUGGAUUCUUUGGCUUUGGACUGCGUUGCUCACGGAAAUUACCUGAUUCUGUUCGUCAGAUCCUAAUGGUAAGUCCAUAUUUUCUGCCGGUAUUAUUAUUAUUAUUAUUGUUAUUGUUAUUAUUAUUAUUAUUAUUAUUAAUUUAUUUUGAUAUAUUGGAAACCAUCGACAAAACGGGGACCUCAAAACAUACUAGUCGGGGUAGUUUGUAAGUAGACAGAUUGACAAUAUGAUGAAGACAGUUGUCUUUAGACAAUUGCAUGUGAAUUUUGUAGGAGCAAACACAAAUUCCUAGAAUGGUAUACAACUUCAAUCCUGUCUGUCCAAUUAUAACCUCGCUACUUUUGAUCCACUACACCUUUUUCGAUCAACAGGGGAUCACUUAUUUAAUUAUACGGAACCCUUUAUAUAACAAUCAUAUUUGUUCCCGUAUUUUUUAGGUUUUAUAUUGAGUGGUUGUUAUGCAAAUAUUACAGGAUUUGACGUUUAAAUAUUUUUUUGGUUGUUAUAGAUAAAAAUUAUCUAUAAAUAAAUAAUCAUUCCUUUUUUCAUGUUACAUAUAAAAAAUAAGGAAAUUAUUUAAAUUUAAAAUCUCACAAGCUAUGCAUAUUUCACUAAUUAAAUAUUAAAGAAAGUUAAUACAUUAUUAAUAAAUUCAUAACUAAAAAUAUAAAGAUUUAAACUCUAAGGCAGACAUUUUAAGGCUACCAAAAAAAUAAUUUUUUUCAAGAUUGAUGGAAGUGGAACAACUUUGUAAUUGUAGCUUGUUUCGUAGAUUUCAUUCUCUUACUAGCGAUAUAACACUUGAAUUGGCAAAGAUCCGUGUCUAAAUUUUCAGCAAAAAGGUAUCCAAUAGUUUUUCCUUGAAUACAAUCUAAGAGUUUAACCGUUAAAUUUUCUAUCCAAGUAUUUUUUAAAUUUAUCCAAUAAAAAAGAUAUCAUGUGCAAAUCUAUAAAUCUUAUAUUUUAUGCAAGAUAGAAACUUUAUUUAUUUUUAGAAUUAUUAUUAGCAAUCUUAAAGAUUUUAUAUGGCUGUUAUAGAGGGGUAAUUUUACAAAAAGCGUUCUGCUAUAAAUAUGGUUGUUGCUGUUAUAGGUAAAAAGUUGUUAUAAAAUUGUUUAUGAAAGUCACUUUACUUUAUUUUUUAACUGAAAAGUCACUAUACUUUGCACAUUGUAACUCAAAAGUCAAUCAACACUUUUAGGGCGUUAUUAAACAUUAUUUUUCAUAUUUCUUUUCAGCCCAACCAUUUAAAAAAUAAAAAAAAAUAUUUAAAUCAUGACUCGACGGUUCCAUGACCUGACCCAUUUUCUCUUAUUUAUGUUAUAAAAAACAUAAAUAUUACUUUGUUGUAGUGUAUUAUAUUGGUUCUCAAUAUAGUUAUACUAAAUGUAUACAUUGGUUUAAGCAAAGUAUUAAAUAGAGAAUAAGGAAUUAAUCUUAACAAACUAGAGGAGUUAGAUUUGAAACUGAAACAAGAAAAUUAGUAGCGUUGAAGUGAAAAAAAAUAAAAAGGAGGAAGAAAAAAUAAAAAAAGUAUUUAUGCUUGAAAUUUUGACUGAGAAAUAUUAAUAUAAGAGUAAAUUAAAAGACAAUAUCCUUGAUGUUUUAGAACAAGAACGCGCAUUUUAGUAAAGAUAAUGUUACUAGACGACCAUUUUUAGUCGAACUAAUUUAAUACUUUGCUUAAAUCAAUAUGUUGAAAAUCAAGACAAUUAACAGUAAAGUAAUAUUUACGUUUUUUUGUAACAAAAAUAAGAGAGUGGGUCGAGUUAAAGAGCGGGUUGAGUCACGGUUUAAAUGGGUAUUUUUUUAUUGUUUAAAUGAUUGAGUUAAAAAAAAUAUGAAAAAAAAAAUUUAAUAUGGCCUAAAUGUAUUGAGUGACUUUUGAGUUACAAUGUGUAAAGUAUGAUGACUUUCCUUUUACAAAACAAAGUAAAGUGACUUUCAUAAACAAUUUUCAUUAGUUCAAUGACUUCUGAGAAAUGGACUCCUUAAAAAAUUGAUUCUGAAGAAAACUUGGUUUUUACGGUGAAUGACUGUUAUAUAUGAAUGUUGUUAUCGAAAGGUCUGACUGUAUGUGACCUAGUUUAUUGAGACGUUUUUACAUUAAAGCCCUUUCGUAUUUACACUUCAAUAUGCAUCAUACAAAAAAUAUGUGCUUCAUAAUUAUACAUUACAUUCAUUUCUAACUCCACUUUUACAAAAAAUAUUUUAGGUCCAUUAUUCUACAAAGGAUGGUACCAUUUGUUCUAUCAAUACAAUCCAGAGGCUGCAGUAUGGGGAAAUAUUGUAUGGGGCCAUGCAGUUUCAAGAGACUUAAUUCACUGGCAACACCUUCCAGUUGCUAUGGUUGCGGAUCAAUGGUACGACAUUAACGGUGUAUGGACCGGAUCCGCAACCAUUUUACCCGAUGGUAAACUCGUCAUGUUAUAUACCGGGUCAACCAACGAGUCAGUACAGGUUCAAAAUCUAGCGUACCCGGCUGACCCAUCGGAUCCUCUCCUAAGAAAAUGGGUCAAAUAUGAGGGCAACCCGGUACUUGUACCACCACCCGGAAUUGCUACUAAAGAUUUUCGUGACCCCACCACUGCAUGGACCACACCACAAGGCAAAUGGAGGAUUACUAUUGGUUCAAAGGUUAAUAAAACUGGAAUUUCAUUGGUCUAUGACACUAUUGAUUUUAAGAAAUUUGAGUUGUUGGAUGGGGUGCUCCAUGGUGUACCGGGUACGGGUAUGUGGGAAUGUGUGGACUUUUACCCGGUUUCGAAAGUUGUUGAAAAUGGGCUUGACACAUCAGAUAAUGGGCCUGCAGUAAAACAUGUGUUAAAGUCCAGUCUAGAUGAUGAUAGAAAUGAUUAUUAUGCACUUGGAACUUAUGAUGCAGUGGCUGGUAAAUGGAUUCCUGAUAAUCCCACAAUUGAUGUUGGUAUUGGAUUAAGAUAUGAUUAUGGAAAUUUUUACGCAUCAAAAACAUUUUAUGACCAAGAAAAAAAGAGAAGAGUCCUUUGGGCUUGGAUUACUGAAGGUGAUAGUGAAGCUGCUGAUAUUUGCAAAGGUUGGGCAUCACUUCAGGUACAAUUCAAUUGUGUCGAAGACAAUUUAGCUAGUGUUGGGAUAUAGAUUUGGUUGAAACUUAAAAAAAAAAAUAUUUAAAAUUAUGGACAUGUAUUUUAUUUGAAAAAAAUUAAAAUUCUGUGAGUGGAAGAAAACCUUUUACCCAAAAACUACCCUAAACCAGAUUUUGGGAAUGUAAAAAAAAGAAUCAGAUCAUAUUCUAUGAACAAACAAUAUUAUCAAAAGUUUUUUAAAAACAAUUUUCAAAAUCUAUGGUCAAUUUCCUCUUUUAUUUUACUUCAUUUUGUCAUAUUUGAAUUUUGGUCUCAUUUAACACUUGGUAACGUGUGAUGUAAAACAGCCUAUUCCAAGGACUAUAAAAUAUGACAAGAAGACAGGAAGCAACAUAAUUACUUGGCCAGUGGCGGAGGUUGAGAAUUUGAGAUUAAACAGUAAGGAAUUCGACAAGGUGGAGGUAAAACCAGGGUCAGUUUUUCCACUAGAAGUUGGCACUGCCACUCAGGUUUGUUGAUUGAAUUUAACUAUACACGUGUAAAAGAAUUUCUUUACGUUAUCGGUCUAUUUUAAACUAUUAUAGCACGUAACAUGCUAAUAUUCGAUAAGUUUAACUUACUAUAAUUUGAAUUGUUGAUGAUUAUAGUUGGACAUAAUGGCUGAGUUUGAAAUAGACCCUAAGGUCUUGGAGAGAUUAGAAGGAAAUAAUGCUACAUAUGAGUGCAGAAGCAGUGGGGGAUCUGCUGAACGUGGUGCCUUAGGACCAUUUGGUUUAUUGGUUUUAACAGAUAAGGGCUUGUCCGAGCAAACUCCAAUUUACUUCUACAUUGCAAAAGACGCUGCUGGAAAUUUCACCACAUUCUUCUGCAAUGAUCUUACCAGGUUCUAAUUUCUCCUCUCUUGCAUUUUCAUCUCAUCAAUGAAGUUUUAGCCCCUCCCCCCCACCAAAACCAAACUAAGAAAUUGGAGAAAAACCUUUAUUGGUUCACUGCUUAAUAGCAGUACGGAAUUCAGGAUUUUGAGUCAUUAGGUUCUGCUCUAUAUAUAUAUAUAUAAUAAUAUUUUUCUACACAUAUAUAUAGUUCGAGCUAAACAUAAUGAGUUCCGUCGAACCUGUUGCAUCUAGUCUGAAUCCGCCACUGCUUUAACACAUCUUUCUCAUAAUAACCACUAUUUCCAAGAGCUUAAGUAUUUCUCAUGUCCAUACUUCUAUCCACGUUUAAAAAUGAAGUCAGAUUUUGUUUUAUAUCCGAGAAAUCCCGAGGGCAAGUGGCCAGUACAUGGUUCGAAGCUCAAUGGACACUGGCACCGCCCUUUAUCGUGCUCUACUUAAAUAUUAAGAUUUUGUCUGUUGCAGGGUUUUAACCAAGGACGUACGUUUAACCCAUAUAUAACGAGUAGCUUUUACCACUAGACCAAAACUCGGGGCAAUAUAUGAAGCCAGAUAUUUGUUGCAAUUCUCUUUAAUUAAAUUAAAAUGGUGACAAGAUCCGAGACAAAUCUUGGAAGUGCAUUACGUAGUAUUUUUAAGUAAGUAUGAUAAUGGUGAUUCUCAUCUUUUUACUUCCUUUUUUUUAGGUCAUCUGAAGCAACAGAUGUUCGCAAACUAAUCUACGGAAGCACAGUUCCAGUCCUCCAAGGAGAGAAGCUUUCUCUAAGAACACUGGUAAUUUUCAUUUUUCUUCUUUUUUUAAUUGCUUAUUCAAAAUUCUUGAUUAUAUUGCGUACACUUAAGUUUACCAAAUAUAAAUUAAUGGGGUAUUUUUGUGAAUGUAAUAGGUGGAUCAUUCAAUAGUAGAAAGUUUUGCACAAAGUGGAAGGACAGCAAUAACGUCAAGGGUAUAUCCAACAAAGGCAAUAUAUGAAGAUGCUAAGCUCUACUUAUUUAACAAUGCUACAGAUGUUAGCAUUACUGCCUCACUCAAGAUUUGGCAAAUGAAUUCUGCAAAUAUACAAUCUAGUUAACUUCCACCCCAUAUGUAGAUUGUAAAUUAAAUUUUCAAAAUUGUUGAUUCUUCUUUUUUGAUUUUCCACCACCAUUGUUUUGUGGCAUUCUUUUAUUUCUUUUCACUUAUUGUAAUUUAAUUAAUUUUAUCUUUCCCAUUCUUCCUUUUAUUUUUCGCCAAGUAUGUUUCUAUUGGUGAGAUAGAAAAAGUUUCAUUUUGGAUCAAAGAGAUCAGUGAAGUGGGCCUUUUUUGUGUGGUGCUUUGAAAACUAUUUACACAAUAAUGUCCAUUAUUGAAUAAUUAAAGAUAAAUAUUUUAAUAAUUGUUAAUCUAUUAUCACACGUUUAAAUUAACUCCCCGCUCACACUCUAGGAGAAGGAGGGGGGAGGGGGGUCCUCUGCUCUUGUCUUCUUGGGGGAUCAAUAGUUGUACUUCUUUAGUUAUUCCUCGUGACUCUUUUUUGUCUCUGCAUUUGUGAAUUAAAUCUUGUGAGCUAAAUAAUAAUAAUAAUAAUAAUAAUAAUAAUAAUAAUAAUAAUAAUAAUAAUAAUAAUAAUAAUAAUAAUAAUAAUAAUAGAACAAAAUGGACAGUUUACACAUUAUUCCAAGGAAUUCUCUCAAAUCUGCAUCAUCAAAUGCUAUUAGCUAAUAAUAGAACCAUAUGUACAGAGAGGAGACAAGACCCCUUUUCUCGACUAGAAAUGGGUCCCAAGUUUCGAGUUUAGUGUUCAGUAUUUCCGACAAUAAGAAGCUUUUAACCUGAAGGUGGUGGAAUUAUUAGACACAAACAAGACAAUAUAUUAAAAGGGAAACAGCUUAAAGUUCAUAUCAAUUUGAAAUAUGAUGAGAUACUAGGUUAAUUUCUCCUCUUCUUGUUGGCAACGAGUUUGGUUGGCUAAUUGAGAUUUGAGAACAUACCAUGAAAUUCUUCUCGCGUAGGAAAAAAAUAAAAUUGACUUAAAUCAACUGUGUUGAAAGAACAAACGAUAAUUUAUAAGGUUAAAAAGAUCUUACCAGAAAUUUUCAAUUAUAUAUGAGCAAACACGCGGAAAAUUUUAAAAAUUAUACACAAAGAAUGAUCAAAUACGCCAAUAAUUGCGCUUUAGUGCCAAACCAGUUGAGUUAAAGAUUUUAUAAUGGUCCGUGGAGUAAAAUGCACUUUUAGUUUUAAACUAUGAAAAGUAUUGAGAAUAUAUAUUGGAUUGUACUUUCUUACUUAAAAAUUAAAAGAAAGAUUUUGUGCCAAUAUAAAAUGGAUCAAUAACAUUUUGACUCAAACCAUUUAUCUAAUAAAACUAGUUAAGUUGCUUAGAUGGCCAUAUCGAAAUGCAAUUUCUCUUUCUUUCUCAAAAAUGAAAUGAAACUUUUUUUUUAUUAGUGCUGUAUGUUUGAACCACCUUAUGCGAAACUCAAUUAAUUUUAUGAAUAUCUCUUACCUUCAAAAAGUAAUGUAACUUUUCCAAUCCAGAAAAUCCCAAAUCAUUCAAUUUACAAAAAAUUAAGACAAUAUAAUCGCUCGUUUGUAAAUGUCAACUCCUUGAUCGUUUGGUGAAAAGACAUUAGUCGUUACUAAUUGGUUUGAAUCGUUUUCUCUUGAUUUCACCACCUAAUCAAUUUCAUUAAUCAUAGAUCGCAUGUAUUUUCCUUUACUAAUCAUUAAUCAAUUAUAAACUAGUAUUUUCCUUUAUGUUUUUGUUUAGAGUACGGGCAUCUCGAGGAUGAAACUGUUUGAAGCAUGUUUCCACAAUAUAUGCAGGUUUCAUUGACUUGACUUAUUUUCUUCUCCACUCAACCUCACGUUAGGGCUUGUUCACAACGGAACAAAAAUCAAAACCAAAUCGAAAUCGAAACUUAAUGGCUUAUUGGUAUUGGGUUAACGAUUUAACGAACGGGGAACGGAUUAAAAAUUUUUAUUAACGGCUUAUCGAUUUAGGACGGAUUAUUCAAUUUUCUUAACGGCUAAUCCGUUAACUCAUUAAGAAUAUAUAUAUAUAUAUCCUAAUGAUAUAGUUUCUGUCAAGUGUCGAGAAUCAAUUCCCAAUUUUCCAUUAACAAGUGUUGGUAUUAGUAGCCAAAAUACAUGCCUUUUGUUUUCUAUUUUUCCCAGUUAGUGUCUUAGUGGUCAUCACUCACCGUUGUAUUAAAUAUAGAGAAAAAGAUGUAUAGUACAAUUUACUCUAUUAGAAAUUUAGAAUUUAGAAACCCUAAAAUCUAGACCUCCCAAAUUCUCUAGCCGCUGCCUCUCGCUCUCUCCUCCCAUUCUCUUCUCAGGGGUCUUGCCUCCAUAGGCUCUAAUCUCAUAACUAGAUCUCAGACUCUCAGUUAUGGCCAUAGCUAGAGUAGCAGACGAUAAGUUUCUUUCUUCUCAUUUUCGAAUCUUUACUUGAUAGUCGAAUUUUUAGUUCUGCUAUUGAUAAAAUAGACCAAAUCUAUGUAGAAAUUUGGAAAAAUAUCAAAAUUAUUCUAGGGAUUAAAAGAGGAAUUUCGUGGCAGAAGAAUGUCAUUUUCCUCAUCAUACUUUGUCAGGAAAUUAAUUUACUUUCUAAUUCGAUUUCGAUUCAGUUCUAAUAUAUCGGGUAAGAAUUCGAACACUAGCAAGCUAGCCUGCUACCUCUUCUCUGUUGUUAUUUGUUUUUCGAACACUAGUUUAUUUUUAUUUGGAUUUCCUUAAGCUUAAGUGAGGAUCAGCCUAAACCAACUCACAAAGUAAAAAACAGAAUUUAGUUAGUUCUGUAGUUGUUUUAAACUGUUAAUUAAGGUAAUAAUGCAUCUCAUUAAUUCGGUGGAUGAAUCAGUGACAAUUCCAGUCAAGUCACUAAACAUCUAAUUGCAUAAUUAUUUUUUUAAAAGUCAAAGAAUAUCAUAUGCAUCUCCAGAAAAAUAUGUAAACAUACAUAGAAGAUAUAUAAAUAGACCGAUAAACCGCCCGAUAAUAGCUAAACCGAUACCAAUCCGCCUGAUAUCUUAUCGGAUGGCUAGUGGAUUAAUACAUUUAAAUAUCGAUAACCGAUAGGCCGAACCGUUAGGCGUAAAUAAUCGCCCGAUCCGCCCGAUAAGCAACCCUUCACAUGAGCUCAAACCACUAUUGGCUGUUAAUGUAAUUUUAGCUAUCACAUAAUUUAACCGACUAUAAUAAAUCACUUAAUUUAUAGUAUUUUUUUGCAAGUUGCCAAUCUAUAUUUGUUAUAAAAGUUAAAGAAUUUCAUUUUGAGACCUUCAAGUUUAUACUUGACUGAUCCAAAUUGAAAGCACUAAUUUGUAUGCGUUUGUACAAUGUUUGGUUGAAGUAGGAAAAAAGAAAUUACCUGAAGUUGAAGUUAGAAAAAGUUUAAAGUAUUGUGUUUAAAAAAAGUUUAAGUAUUGGUGUUUGAACAUGAAUAUAAUUGGAAUAAAGUUUACAAUAUUAUGAGUGGUAAUCAUUUUGUCACUUGAAUACUUCUCAAAAUAAGGUUUUCAACUUCAAAUUCUCUAUUUCAAUUGAAGUUGAAAUAAAGAACCAAGUCGUAAAUGAAAUAUUGAUUUCGAAUUAUAUUUUAAGUUGAAGUUAUAAAAAAAAUAGAAUGCAUAUACUUGAGACACCCGAAGCUUAGCACUAGGAGUUAAUAACCUGAAAACUUUAUUCAUAAACUUCUGGUUACCAUCUCUUUUAAUAACAGAAUAGACAGGCACAAUUACCGUAACUGCUGCCCAUUAUGGGAUUCGUUUAGAAACUUGUUUCUGUAAUUAUCACUCUUCUUUCCUUGUCUGCCACAAUAUGUUCUCCCCCUUAUUGUUACCCUCAAAAUAUGAUACCAAUUUAAUUUAUACGUGGUUUUAAGGAUAGUGAUCUAACUUGAUACAAAAAUGAGAAAUCAGAUUCAAAUUGAAAUUAAUGAUAAAAAAGUAAAUACAAACCAGUUGAACAAUUUUGACCUUGAAAGUUGGUCACCCUCGAGUCAAAGAUGCUGCAAUCGGUGUCGGGAUAGAGUGAUGAGAUAAUAAUGACUAGAAAUAACAGUUUAUUGCUUUGAGAUGCGUGUUACAAUAUACUUUACAAAUAAUCAGACCCCCUUUAUAUACUAGAUGAGUCCUACUUUAGGUACAAUUCUAUAUAAGGUAAAAAAUCUCAUAAUUUGCUAAUUAAUCGGUUUCAUUGAUACGUGCUGAGAUUCCUGCCGUGAUAUCCGACCGGUUAUGGAUAUUUCGGCCUUCCGUUAUUUUGGUUCGGUAAUGUUUUCUCGAGCUAAUUCGGAGUUGUGGUCAAUUCCAGGGUUACAGACUCGAUAAUCUUGAAAACGCAUGUUCUAACCUCGUGCCUAGGGUCGAUCUUCAAUCCAUUACGUUUCAUCCCUGAUCUGCUAUGCAAUAGAUGAGCUCGGUUUCUACCGUAUACAGAUAGUCCCCUCGUUUUUCGGAGAGUAAACGACGAGAAACGAUAUCAGCCCUCGAUCCUUGUCUCGGUACUUUGCGCCAGAAACGACAAAAUGAUCAACGAAACAUCUGGUUAGUCACAUCUAAAUGGCAUUAAAUGUUCGUCAGUUGUUGGUCGGCCACCAAAGGUUUUGAAUCGUCGUUUGCAAACUAUAAAUACUUCAUCCUUCAUUUAUUCAAACGUUAUAUUCAAUCUUUUCCUACUCUUGUUCUUAAAGAACCUUUGCAUUUUCUAGUGUUUUCCCCAAUUUCUUGAGAGCUUUGUAAGGGUUUCUCCUUUGUCUGAACUAUUCAAUUGUACCCCUUUAACUCCUUCUUCUUCAUCUUCAUCAAACAAUGGCGAAGACUUCUAAGUUUGUUCCCCAAAAAGAAACUCUCUCUUCCUCGAAAUCGACUGAGAACGUUUUGCCUGUAGUUACUGAGGGAUCGACACCAGAACCCCUUCUAAAGAUGUUUGUCCCUACGGGGUGUCCAAUCGGAGCCGAUUUUAAGGUUGAGAAAACCUCCUUGGUACCGGGCCAGUGCGAACCGGUCUCAAGAUACAUAUGUUCGGUCACCGACGGUGUUCUCGACAAGGUCAAGGAGGACUGCAACUGGGUCAGUAAGCAUGCAGUGGUUCCUACGCCCAGGAAGCAAUCACCACCCACGUGAAGGGUUUUUUAAGUGUUUACACUUACCUUUUCACGCUGGGUCUUUUAGAUCCAGUUAUUAUAGCCUUUUGUAAGAGGUACGAGGUGACCCUAGGCCAAAUUCAUCCCUCCUUCUGAAGGAUAGUCAUCCUCAUCUGUUUUUUUGUAAACAAGAUCGAGGGGUGUCCCUUCACCAUCGAUCACCUCAUGCGUUUGUACAGUUCCGGGAUUUAACGGAUGGGGGGGGGGGCUAAUAAAACUUUCCCAUCGGGCCAGUAAGGCCCCAUUAUCGAGCAUCGAUGAGGAUCGGGACCGAGGCUGGUUGGGCCGAUUCGUUUGAGUGAAAAUCUCGGACUUAAUCCCGGCUGAGGACAUGCCAUUUCGUGAGAAAUGGCACUUGAAUUAUAAGUAUAACCUUGCCUUUAAGAUUUUGUUUAUCAUUUUUCUUUUGCCCUUCUUCUUAUCGAUUCUUUAUGAUGCAACUGCUGCUCGGAUGACGGAUGCAGUUCCUCGACUCAAGGAGUGGGUCGAGGGCAUCGUGUCGCAAAAACCCUAUUUCGAUCGCCCGUGGCGUGAACUUUCGAAGGGCCGGUGGGAGGCCCAUACUCAUGGUGAGAUUUCUCUACUGAGUGAAUUUACACUUAGUUUUCUUAGCUGCAUUCGUUCUCACUGUUUUUUCCUUUGUAGGUCUUCCCAAAGAUGUCGAAAUGAGUCCCCCGUCCGGUGAUGAAGAAAUUCUCCCCGAGCCAUCUGUUUCGAGGCAGGAUAAUGAGAAGAAAAGGAAAAGGACUCCGAGUUCUCCGAACUCGGAGAUGAAAAAACCAAAAAGGAGGCUUGUGUGCAAAUCCAAGGAAAGUGCCAGCGCCCGGGAGGUCCCAUCGGAUUCACUCAGUCGACUGAGGGAUGAGUCCGAAGAAGAAGAAGAAGAAGAAGCCUCUGAGCUGAUGACCCGCGUGAGAAGCGGUACCGAGCUACCUCAAACCGGGGUAGCCGAUGAGGAGGCAGUGGCCGAGACCUUGAAACCAGGUAAGGACGGGGCCAUUUAGCCUCGAGUUGGGGAGGUCGACAAGGAGACCAUGACCGGUACUCCUCGGGUUGAUGGAAAUGCCCUGAAGGAUGCACUUGGGGUGAUCGAUCCUUCUGGGUCACUAUCAAUCACCGACUCCAUGAUAAACGAGGCCCAUGUGCUAAAAGGACACCCAAAUGAGGGGCCUCAAGAGGCGGCAAAUUCCUUCAACAACUUCUUCGAUGGCUUAGAUUCUACCACCUUGGAGUAUGUCACCGGGUUAGGAAACUUACCGGUACCAAAGAAGAUACCGUCUUUAGGAGCCAGCAGAUCUUCUUCGAGUUCGAGAUUAGUAGAUCGAUUCCCGGUCCCGAGUUCAGAUCCUGACCGGAAGCGGUCAAUCAUCAUGUCCAUACCGGAGGAUGCCUGGGUUUUCUACGCCCCCGUAGGGGUUUCAGCUAUCUUCGAUGCCUGGUGACAUUAAAGGAUCAUGCCAAAAUGAAUGAGGUGGAGUCCCCGUGUCUGUUCAACGAAGCUCAACAUGCGUUGAAUCGGGUAACUUCGAAUGCCUUUUUAUUAUGUAUUUAUAUUAAAUUGCAAACAAUCGUAACAUUCUUUUUGUGUUCGCAUGCCUUGGUGCUUCAUCACUAAACUUUUCUCUGAUAUCGGGAAGAGUUGAACCAACACGAGGUCGAAACCCGGGAGCUUACUAAGAAGAUGGAUGCUUACAAGCUCAUUAGUGAGAAGCUCCUGGCCGAGUUAGAAGCGGCUCGGAAGGAGCAUGUCGUCGAGUAUUUGAAGUUAGUGACUAUGAUUUAGACACAGUGGCUAACGACUCGAACCCGCAGGUUCAAAAGAAACUUGACCAGAUCGAGCAGCUCUAGGUGGAGGUGGACACGGUGAAUGCUGAGGCCAAAAAAUAGAAGAAAAACAUGGACUACCUGGCCUCGGAAAAGGAGAGUGCCCGAGAACAACUGGCUUCGACUGAGAUCCAAAUCUGGGCUGCAAAAGAAAAGGCCUUGGUACACGCCAAAAAAAUCAAAGAGCUCCAAUCUCAACUAAGCUCGGCGAUCUCCGGUCAAGAAAAUCUGGCCAAGGAACUUGAGGUGACCAAGUUGGAGAUUACGGUGGUUAAGGCCAAGGCUAAUAAGAGGGUGGCCCAGCAUAAGGCCGAUGCCGAGACGGCUUAGAAUUAAGUGAGAAACUUGGUUGAGCAUAUGAAGUGGCAAUCCCAAAGGGAGGCCCUCGAGGGAGUUCGAGCUCAAGGUUUUGACCUGUUGGCCAAAAUCGAGAAUGCCAAGGUAUCCAAAGUCGAGGCCAGGAAGCUGGCUUAUUCCCAGGAGAAGGAUUUCGAGGGAUCUGAAGAUUCGGAUGAGCCCUAAGGCAGCAGAUAACCUGAAGGUGAUGAUGCGGCCCCCGACGAAGACUAGGCAACUUAGGAUUGUUUUAUUUUUUUAAGGCCGCUUUGGCCGUUGUAAAAUUUUAUAUCGGAGCCAUUCGACCCUUGUAAAAAGAAAUUUCUGAUUAUGAAUAUAAGGUCUUUUCCCUUCAACAGCUUUCGAAUUUUCUCUUUUCCUUGUUUAUUUUUAUUUGCAAAGAUAACAAUUAGGUUGUGUUCGAAGGUUCGGACAAACCUUGCCUUUAACAUUAUUUCGUUUUGAGGCAUCGUGGGGAUUUGGUGUUAUCGAAAACUUUUCCCCAAAGUAGUUUAGGUUUAUAGUUUGCUGAGGAUAGCCUUUAGAACCGGUUAAGAAAUUUCAAGGCCUUGUUGUUUUUGUUACUGUCUUCGGACGUCUCCGAGCCAUGUUUAUGUGGUCGUAGACUUUAUAGUUCGGGGUGUUGUCCCGUGUUAAUAUAAUUAUCCCGAGUUAUCCGGGUUUGCCUAAGAUGGUAGUCCCCGAGUGAGGGUGGCCUUAUCCUAUAAAAUUCGGGGGUUGCCUAAUAGGUCUUUAUACCCAUGAGGUCUAAUAGCUUGGACCGUCCGAGUUUAUUUUAUGGACGACAGUCCCCGAGUGAGAGAGUGAUUAUUCGAACUCAGGCUAAGGCGGCUCAUGGGCUCAUUUCCUUUAGGGGAUCGGAAGCAGGGAAUUCUUUGAGAAAUGCAAAGGAAAAAGUUUUAAAAGACAAAAUAUUUGCAAGGAAGAGUCUUCUCUUUAUUCUUGUACAUAAUAGUAAUGUAUGUGUACAAGCUUUGUGUCAGGGUUUGAGCAGUCUAUGUGGGCACGGUAAUUUGACCGUUUGGCCCUUACAUUGAAUCCUAUCGAUCGAGACCCUUAAAUCCCGAAGUCUUUUUCCAUGCUAAAGUCGAUAUCAGAGGGUAAUGCCCCCAGUGUUCGGGGAUGACCGAAGAAGGGCCUUGAACGCUAUUAUGAUCAUCGUCAUCGGUUCGUUUCCGGCCUUCAAUUCUAAGUUAGCACGAUUUACUUGUUGCCUCGUUAAAAACCUUGCAGGAAAACCCAUUUGGGACAAAACCGACUCAAGGGAAAAAGAGUGUAACGUGCUCUUUCAGACCUAAAAUCUCGUACCAUCCCUUAUUGGUUACCUACAAGGGUUAGUUUAAGAUGUAAAUAAAGGAAAGAACGGGGCCAUACCUUAGAUGUAAUAUCGCUUUAAGUGAGUUAUAUUCCAGUUGUUCGGUAGUUGCUCGCCAUUCAUUGUUCUAAGCUUGUAGGAUCCUUUUUCGGUGAUCUCGAUAAUUUGGUACGGCCCUUCCCUGUUCGGCCCCAAUUUUCCUUCAUUCGGGUUUCGGGUGUUUAGCGUGACCUUUCUUAGUACCAAAUUCCUAGUAUUAAAGUGUCGAAGGUUGGCCCUUCGAUUAUAAUAUCUUUUGAUCCGUUAUUUUUGGGCGACUAACCGGACAAGGGCGGCUUCGCGCCUUUUAUCUAAUAGCUCCAGGUUGGUACUCAUAGCGUUGUCAUUCAAUUCCUUUGUUGCAUUUCAUAAUCUGAUACUCGGUUUCCCGACCUCGGCCGGUAUCAAAGCUUCGGCGCCAUAAACCAAAGAAUACAGGGGUAGCUCCGGUACUGGACUUCGAGGUUGUACGGUAUGCCCACAUGACUUCAAGUAAUAUUUCCUUCAAUCUUCUUUUGGCGUCGGUUAACCUUUUUUAAGGUUUUGGAGUAUGGUUUUGUUGGUAGAUUCAGCUUGUCCAUUCCCACUAGGGUGAUAGGGUGUCGAUAGGAUCCUUUUGAUCUUGUGGCAUUCAAGGAAUUUAGUUACUUUGCUUCCGAUGAACUGUUUCCCAUUAUCGCAUACAAUUUCGGUCGGCAUUUCAAAUCGGCAUAUGAUAUGGUCCCAAAUGAAAUUGAUGACCUCCUUCUCCCUGACCUUCUCGUACACUUGGGCUUUCACCCACUUAGAAAAAUAGUCAGUCAUAAACAAUAUAAAUUGAUCCUUAUCGGGUGCCCACGGAUGGGGCCAACGAUGUCCAUUCCCCACUUCAUGAAUGGCCAUGGUAACAAAACCGAUGCAGCAACUCCCUGGGUCGAUGGAUCAUCGGAGCAUGUCUUUGGCAUUCAUCACAUUUUCGAACGAACUCCUUUGCGUCUUUUUCUAUGUCGAUCCAGUAAUAACCGGCUCUGAUUAUUUUUUGAACCAGCAAUUCCGCACCCGAAUGAUUUCUACAGGUACCUUCAUGGAUUUCCCUCAAAACAUACUCAGUGUCGCCCGGCCCUAGACAUAUUACAAGUGGUCCAUCAAAUGUUCUUCUGAACAAGGUUCCAUCUUCGGACAGGCUAAAUCAGAUCGCCAUUGUACGCAGGGCCCUCGACUCUUUUGGAUUCGAGGGCAGUUUACUGGAUCUGAGAUAUUCCUCGUACUUAUUCCUCCAGGCCUAAGUUAGGCUCGUCGAGUUGAUCUCGGUGUGGUCUUUUUCCACCACCGAUCUCAUAAGUUGUAUGGCUUCUCCCUAAUUGAACUCAUCGUCUUCGACCGACGAUCCCAAGUUAGCAAGGGCAUCGACCUCGCUGUUUUGAUCCUGAGGUACGUAUUGCAAAGUCCAUUAUUAGAACCUAUGUAAUAUCACUUGUAAUUUGUCCAAGUAUCUUUGCAUUCGUUCCUCUCUGACCUCGAAUGUUCCAUUGACUUGGUUUACCACAAGGAGGAGUCACACUUGGUUUCGAUUACCUCUGCCCCCAAGCUCUUGGCUAGUUCAAGGCCUACAAUCAUGGCAUCAUAUUCAGCCUCGUUGUUAGUCAAUUUCACAGUCUUAAUAGAUUGCCUAAUUAUAUUACCUGUUGGUGGCUUUAGUACGAUGCCAAGUCCGGAACCUUUUGCAUUUGAGGCGCCAUCCGUGAAUAGGGUCCAGUUUCCCGAGGAAGUUUCUGAGUUAACCAAUAACUCUCUUUCGACCUCGGGUAUUAGGGUCGGUGUAAAGUCGGCCACAAAGUCUGCCAAAAUUUAAGACUUAAUGGAGGUCCGAGGUCGAUACUCAAUAUCAUACCCACUUAUUUCUAUGGCCCAUUUGGCCAAUCGGCCCGAGAGUUCGGACUUAUGCAUAACGUUCCUCAAUGGGUAAGUAGUUACGACACAUAUGUGGUGGCAUUGGAAGUACGGUUUUAGCUUCCUAGAGGCGCUUAAUAAAGCGAGCGCCAGUUUUUCCAGGUGAGGGUACCUAGUUUCGGCCUCACCUAAGGUCCUACUAACAUAGUAAAUUGGAAAUUACAUACCUUGCUCUUCCCGAACUAGGACUCCACUUACCGGUAUCUCCGAGACCGCCAAGUACAAGUACAAUGGUUCGUUCGUCUUUGGUGUGUGAAGCAGGGACGGGCUCGAUAAAUACCUCUUGAGUUCCUCCAAAGUUUGUUGGCAUUUUGGGGUCCACGAGAAGUUGUUCUUAUUCUUCAACAGUGCGAAUAAUCGGUGGCUCUUGUCGGACGACCUCGAAAUAAAUCGUCCCAGGGCAGCUAUUCGCCCGGUUAACCUUUGCACGACCUUUACGUUGUCCACGACCGUGAUAUCAUCGAUGGCUUUGAUUUUUUCGAGAUUGAUCUCGAUUCCCCGAUUGGAUACCAUAAAAUCGAGGAACUUACCCGACCCAACUCCAAACGCAUAUUUUAUUGGGUUCAGCUUCAUAUUGCACUGCUUCAGUAUGCUGAAGGUUUCUUGCAAAUGUUUUAAAUGGUUCUCUGCUUGCAGAGACUUAAAUAACAUGUCGUCAAUGUAAACCUCAAUUGAUUUUCUUAUUUGUUCCUUGAACAUCCGAUUUACUAGGCGUUGGUAAGUAGCACCGGCAUUUUUUAAUCCAAAUGACAUUACAUUAUAACAGUAUGUACUGUAUUUAGUGAUGAAGGAAGUUUUUUCCUCAUCACCCAGGUCUAUCCGUAUUUGGUUGUACCGGGAAUAGGCGUCGAUAAAAUUGAGAAUCUUGUGGCCGGCCAUGGCAUCGAUCAUACGGUCGAUGCUGGGCAAAGGAAAAGAGUGUUUGGGGCAUGCCUUAUUCAAAUAUUUGUAGUCUACACACACACUUAGUUUAUUCCCCUUUUUAGGGACUACCACUGCGUUUGCUAACCAAUCCGGGUAUUUAACCUCCCAAAUAUACCCUAUUUUAAGAAGUUUAGAUACUUCAUCCUUGAUUUUCGCAUGCUUGAUCUCGUACUGGGUAUUGUUUUUUAUUUAACCGGGUAAAAGUUCGGAUCCAGGCUUAGCUUGUGAGUGGUUAUCUCCGGCGGAAUUCUUGUCAUAUCAAGGUGGGACCAAGCGAAACAAUCUUCGUUAGUUAUAAGAAUUUGAAUAAGUUUUUCCCUGAGCUCGGAGCUUAGCCUCGUACCCAGGUAUACUUUUUGAUCGGGCAAGCUUUCUCGCAAUAUGACUUGUUCCAGCUUCUCGACUGUCGAUUUAGUGGAGUCGGAAUCAUCGGGGGCUAUAAAAGAUCUGGGAACCCCAUAAUCAUCAUCCUUGACUUCCUUUUGUUUGUCAGAAUCUAUCGAAGAUGGUAUCAGUGAUUGCUAUUUGGCCCCUUUUUUACCAUCUGGUUUGGGCCCUUUAAUGUUGAAACUGUAGAUGCCGGUAUCACAUCCUCGACCUCGAAUAUUUCCUUUACAAUCGGCUGUUCUCCUUAGACAGUUUUAACUCCGUCAGGUGUUGGGAAUUUUAGUGCCUGGUGUAGUGUCGAUGGCACCAGCCUUAUGUUGUGGAUUCAUGGCCUCCCGAAUAAAGCGUUAUACCUCACGCCCUCUUCGAUCACAUAAAAUUUAGUCUCCUGGAUGGUCCCGGCAGUGUUUACGGGUAGCGUUAUUUCGCCCUUAGUGGUUUCACAUGCCAUAUUGAAUCCGUUCAGCACUCGAACUGCGAGCACGAUUUGGUCUUGUAAACCGAGCUGAUCCACACCCUUGAUCGAAUGAUGUUGGCUGAGCUACCUGGAUUAAAUAAUACACGUUUAACCCGAAUUUUAUUUACGAGUACAGAUCUUACCAGUGCAUCAUUGUGGGGUUGCACGAUUCCUUCCGUAUCCUCGUCGUUGAAAGAUAAAGUUCCCUCCGGUAUGUAGUCUCGAGUUCGCUUCUCCCUAGUGAUGGAUACUUUGGUGCAUUUCAACAUCGGCCCAUGUGGGAUAUCAACCCCUCCGAUGAUCAUAUUAAUAACGUGUUGAGGUUCUUCUUGUUCUGCCUGUAUGUUAGAAUGCCUGUUCCUGAAAUGAUUCUUAGCUUGGUCGCUUAAGAACUCCCGAAGGUGCCCAUAGUUGAAUAGACGAGCCACUUCAUCCCUCAACUGUCGGCAAUCUUCCGUUCUGUGACCGUGAGUGCCAUGAUAUUUGCACAUCUGGUUAGGGUCCCUUUGGGUUGGAUCGGACUGUAGAGGUCUAGGCCAUUUAGUAUCUUUGAUACGUCCGUUAGCUGAUACAAUGGCGGCAGCAUCGACAUUGAAGUUAUAUUCCGAUAGCCUCGGUGCGUCUUUGAACCUGUCGAAGACAUUUUUGGUCAUACGUCCCCGACUGCUUUGACCUUGGUCAUUUCUCCUUUCAUUCAUAGAGUUUCGCCCGGACCCACUGCUUCUCCGAUCUCCGUUAUACGGCUGAAAUCGAUCCUUGUUUGGCCUCGGUUCGCAAUCGAUAUCUCUCUUGACUCUGUCGAGGGUUAUGACGGGAUAGACAGACCCCGUAGGGCCCCUGAGUUGAUCAUCUUUGACUCUGAUUUUCGAUUGAUACCGGUUAUGCACCUCAGCCCAUGUAACAGCCGGGUAUUCUAUUAAGUUCUGUUUCAGCUGCUGUGAACCCACCGAGCUUUGAAUAUUAAGUCCUUGAGUGAAAGCCUAAACAACACAAUCAUCAGCGACCGAUGACAGAUCUAUUCGUUCCAUUUGAAACUGGGACACGAACUCUCUGAGCAUCUCGUUAUCCUUCUUUUUGACUUUGAAAAGGUCUGAUUUCCUAGUCUCGACCUUGAUGGCACCUGCGAGCAUCACUUGCUUUUACGAAAUAAUCUGCAAGCAUAGCAAAUGAAUUAAUAGAAUUAGGAGGUAAAUUGUGAUACUAUAUCAUAGCUCCCUUCGACAAGGUCUCCCCAAAUAUUUUCAACAAAACAGACUCGAUCUCAUCGUCCUCCAGGACAUUCCUUUGAUAACACAUGUAUAAGAGGUUACAUGCUCGUUUGGGUCGGUCGUUCCAUUAAACUUGGGUAUUUUAGGCAUACAAAAUUUCUUGGGGAUCGGCUUCGGAGUCGCGCUCGGUGGAAAAGGUUUUUGCACGAACUUCCUAGAAUCCAGGCCCUUCAAUAUUAGAGGUGCUCCUGGGAUUUGGUCUACCCUGGAAUUGUAAGUUUUUACCUUUUUGUCGUUAACCUCGAUCUUCUUCUCCCCCGAUUCGUUUUGUCAGCUCCUCGAGCAUUUUUAUGAUCUCGGGGUUAGCCCCCGAUUCGUGUUCGUUCGACCUUUCAAUGACCGGUUUAUCCCUACAGGUGCCUUCCCGGGGAAGAUGAGGCUCAACCCUGCUCGGUGCACGGCUUUGGUUCUGUAACUAAGCUAUUGCCUCCUGUUGAGCCUCUAAUAUUUCGAAGAUCACUCAUAGACUGAUCAUGUCUCCUUCAACGUUUUGCAUGUUUCGAGUUGCCGAUCGGGAUCCACCACGAAUGUUAUUUUUGGGGUUGGUAGGUAAGUUUGCAUCGAUAGCCACAUAUGAAUUAGCGUCAAUCGGAUCCGCGAUUGGAAUUCCAGCGGGAUCAGCAAGUGGUAUCUCGUUACUAGGCGCUAUGUUGUUAUUUUCACCUUGGUGACCGGACUCGUUGUCAACAUGCAAAGGUGCUAAUUGAGAAUUUGACAUUUUUGUAUUUUAGCCUGGAAUCAAAAACACUUCAAAGAGCAAGUGUAAAGCAGUGUGUGUUAUAGAGAUUUGUAUCAAAUAACCAAUAUUAUCCUUAGACCCACGGUGGACGCUAAACUAUUUACCCUCAAAAUCGAAUAACAACUGAAUUUAUACGCGCUUUUAAGGAUACGUGAUCUAACUUGAUACAAAAAUGAGAAAUCAGAUUUAAAUUAGAAUUAAUGAUAAAAAAAGUAAAUGCAAACCAUACAGGUUGAACAAUUUUGGCCUUAAAGGUUGGUCACCCUCGAGUCAAAGAUGCUGCAAUCGGUGCCGGGAUAGAGUGAUGAGAUAAUAAUGACUAGAAAUAACAGUUUAUUGCUUUGAGAUGCGUGUUACAAUAUACUUUACAAAUAAUCAGACCCCCUUUAUAUAGUAGAUGAGUCCUACUUUAGGUACAAUUCUAUAUAAGGUAAAAAAUCUCAUGAUUUGCUAAUUAAUCGGUUUCAUUGAUACGUGCCGAGAUUCCCGCCGUGAUAUCCGACCGGUUAUGGAUGUUUCGGCCUUCCGUUAUUUUGGUUCGGUAAUGUUUUCUCGAGCUAAUUCGGAGUCGCGGUCAAUUCCGGGGUUACAGACUCGAUAAUCUUGAAGACGCAUGUUCUAACCUCGUGCCUGGGUUCGAUGGAACCCCAUGGUCGAUCCUCAAAUCAUUAUGUUUUAUCCCCGAUCUGUCAUGCAAUAGAUAAGCUCAGUUUUUACCGUAUACAGAUAAUCCCCUCGUUUUUUGGAGAGUAAACGACGAGAAACGACAUGAGCCUUCGAUCCUUGUCUCGAUACUUUGCGCUAGAAACGACAAAAUGAGCGAAACACUUCGUCAGUCACAUCUAAAUGGCAUUAAAUGUUCGUCCGUUGUUGGUCGGCCACCACAUGUUUUGAACCGUCGUUUGCGGAUAAUGCCAUUUUCAAGCCUCAAACCAAAACCUCAUAAAAAAAAAUUCAAUCAUCCCACCAUAGUUCUUCAUUGGUUGCAAACGAAAAGGAUAACUUACUUUUGAAACCUAAUUUUCACCAAAAGUCAAGUUGGCGAAUCUUUAAUCAGAUCAAUUGAUUUUCUUAUAAAAUGUAUAGCUCAUUUCAUUGAUGUUGAUCCGUUUAAGUUAAAAGAACCUAGAAGUAGCAGUUUCCGUAUGCGAACUUUUAAAUCGCAUUAGUAUAAUGAGACUUAUAAACAUUGACGAAAUACUACGUAUUACGUGUUCAAUGUGUGUCAGUUUCAAAGUUGCUUUCAUUUUGCGUUAAUUACCCUAUUCGUCCUUUUGACGUCCAUUGCGCUCUCUUUUCUCACUCUCCGGAGUCAUUUGUUCUUCUUGUUUUUUUAAAAAUCCUAUGAAAGAAUUGUAUAGUGUAACAUAAACCUUGUCUUUGAAUCCAAAUUUCAGGAGAAAAGAAAAAGAAUUAUCCAAAGAAUGAAAGAUAUCAUUUCGUGGGAGCAUGGACAAUGAUUGUUUUUCAGCAAAAGAUCACAUGGGGAGGAAUAAGAGCUGAUGAUUAUGUUCUAAAAACCAUUGGUUAGUCGAAGACAAUGCCACUCUUUAUAUAUUCCAUCACCAGAAUUGUGGUGGAAUAAAUAAAAUUUCUCUAGCCGUAGAAAUAAAAAGAAAUAUCGGUAGGCAAAUUUUGUGUCAAUAAACCUUAACUUAAUCGGAAUGCAGCUAUAAAAAAUGUCUUUAAGACAAUGAAGGUAUUCUUUUUUCCUUAGAUACCGUUGAGAAAGAAGAAAAUAGAAAGAAAGAGAAGAUCCGCAAAUAGGUGCAACCAUAGCCAUUAAUGGGUGAAUCCAUCGAAAAAGGGCCCCACACGGUGCCUGGAUACCCUGCUGGCAAUCAUGUGGAGCUUUCCUGAGAAAGUUUCUUGUACGACGCUCCACACAUAAAAAGUAAUGGUGUUUCUAUACAAGUUGCAAUUUCUAUAUAUUUCAUCCCACUAGAACAGUGUAUAAUUUGGUAAAUACUGAAUUACUUACCGAAAUUAAAAAUUUUAAUUUUUGAUAUUCGGUAUUUUAGUAUUUGGUAUAAUAUUUGAUUUAAGUUUAAAAAAAAUUGGUAUUAGAUAUAGUAUUUGAUAUUUUAAAAUAAAAUACCGAAAUAUAUACUCCUAUUAUAUUAGACAAAACACAUAUUAUCAAUUAUAACAUAAAUAUAAAAAAAUCUAAAAUUUUACUUUUCUUUUAUUCUCUAAGUUCAUCAAUUAGCUCUAAACAAGUGACAAGACAUUUCUAAUAAUCCAAUUUAUUCUUUUUAUGUACAGUUUUCUCUUUAUGGGUCGAUAUUUGCUGGUUUUGGACAAAACUUUUGUUAACAAAUAUUUUUAGUUUUGUAUUUUUGAGUACUUUAAUUAAGAAUAUUAGAGUCUAUGGCUCUAUGCACUAGUUAGUAUUCAAACAUAAUAAACCGAAGUUGCCGAAUCGAUUAAAUCGAAAUCGAAAUGAGAAAAAUCGAACCAUACCGAAUUUAAUUAGGUACGGUAUUGGUAUAGAAUUUUAAGAAAUCGAAUACCGAAAAUACCGAACUGAAAUAUAUAAAUAUCGUACCGUACCGAUCGACGAACACCCCUACUAUCAUGGGUAGUUUGGUUGGAAAGAAAUUACCCAGGAUUAAUUAUCUCAGGAUUAGUUAUCCCGAGACUAAUUAUUCCACCUUUCAAUGGGAAUAAAAUAUACUAUAAUCCCGGGAUUAAUUAUACCGCAGUUUUCUACCAACCAAACAUGUGAUAAACUCUUCUUAAAUUUAAUUUCGCAAUUAAUUAUUCCUUAUCCAUUGUACCAAACGAGCUCUCGGUGUAAUAAUAGUGUCUGAUUAGUACUAAUUUAAAAUAAUACUCCAUAAAAGUUUAUAUUUAAAUAAUUAAAUAAAUUAAAGUUUUAAAAAGUAGUAAAAGUUGUCUAAAAUAUUUAAUGGGGUUAACUAUCUUGAAACGUCUGAACUGAAAAGAGUAUAAUAUGAAUUAAGAUAGAAAGAGUAUAUUUUACGAUUAUAUUCUCGAUAGAUCCUCUCCUUAUUUAGAGUAAAGUUUCAUCUUUCCUUAUCUUAAAUCAUUCUAAUGGUUUUGUCUUUAGUGAAUUUUAGAGAUGUUUGGGAUUAAUUAAUAAAUUAUAGACACAAUCGAUGUAGAGAAGAAAAGGUAACCAAUAUUAAUUGUUCACGUUAUAUACAUUCAUAAAACAUAACUUUCUCAGUAUUAGGAACAAACCUUUUGCAUAUUAACUUGCGCAAGUCAUCAUUAAAGACCAACUUUCGGAAAAUAUAAGCGGAUUCACAUUAUUUAGGUUGAAAAGAAAAUUUAAUUUCAGAUUAAUAUAGAUACGAAAAAAACAAACAAGUUGUUAUUUACUGGAAGGAGGAUGAAAACCCAGUGUAUGUAUAUAAAUGGAGUACUACUAUUUGAGAGAUGAUAAUUUGAAGUUAAAGCCUAGUAAUUAGUACUACCCUAUAAGUAGAUGAUGCCAUUAUGAAACCAAUUAAGAGCUGUUGUUUCGGAUCCACUUAUAGUAAAAAGGAGCAGCAAAAUAAGUGUAUUCAGUAGAAGAUUGAUCAAAAUGUAGCAAUUAAUUACUUUAGCAGUGACAAAAAAUAUUACUAAGUGAUUAUUUAAAUUUUGGUGGAUAGAGACAUCGAGUUAUCCAAUCUUAUACUAGUGGGAGGAGCAAUUGGUUCAAACAUAAUAACUUUUGUUCAAAUUUUAAUGUCGUUAGAAUAAUAAGUACCUAAUAUAAUAAUUGAGACUCCUACAAAUUACGCAAAAAAUGUAGCAACUAAUUAUUGGUAAUAUGCUCUGGAAGGGUCUAGUAUUAAUGGUAGAAAACUUGGUACUAUGAGGGACGAAAAAAGGAAAAGAAUAAUGGAGGUUGGUGGAAGACACAAUUUGGUUCUCAAUUAAAGGAGUAGGCGUGUGGUAAUGUAUCACUCUGAACUGUCCAUUGGUUGUCGUCCCCAAACCCCCUUACCCCACCUCAUCCCAUGAAAACUAAAACCUUCUUUUAUGUGCGUUUGAAAAAAUUACUUAAUGGGGAAGGGAAUUUUGCAAAAGGACAUUUUAGAUAUUAAGUUAGCGUUUAGACAUAAAUUUAAUUAAAACUUGAAAAUAAUAAUUUAAAGUUGUAUAGAAAAAUAAUUUUUAAAAGUUAAAAUUGUGUUUGGACAUACAUUUUAUUUAUAAAAGGUUAAAGUUUUGUGAGUGGAACUUUAAUUUUUUUUCAAUUUUUUUUUAAAAUUUGAUCAUAUUCCACGAAUAAACACUGUUUUCAUUAGUGACCAAAAGUUCACUAGUUUGAACCCCAAUGACGUAUAGAAUGUGUUAGCUCAUAAUUUAGCUAAAUUCUCCAUUUCACUUUUAUAUUGGUUAUAUGGGAUUCUAUUUUCUCAAGUUGGGUCAUAAAUAAUGAUAUAAUCAGUGACGUCGCAAGAAAUCUCGCCAAGGGUUUUCGAACUUUAUGGAAAUCGAUAAUUUUUUUCGAUGAAUGGGUGCACCGAAUUUUUUAAAAUCAAACUAUGCAAUAUUUAGCUAAACAAUUAAAAUACUUGUAAUAGAACUAAUUUUAUAAAUUAAAAUUAACAUAAAACAAGACAAUAAAAGAGAUUCUACUAAUAAAAUUAAACAUAAAGCCAAAGGAAGGAGAGAGUUAAGGGGUCAGUAGUAUAUAGAGAACUUUUGUUGAGGAAACUUUUGUAGAGCAUGACAUUUAAAUAAUAACAGUUAUUUAAGAAAUAACUUUUAAGAUUAGUUGUUUGUUUUUACACUCAUUUUAAAUUUUAAUAUUUAUUUAUAAGAAUUUUUGUUGGAUUAAAAAAGAGUCAAAUAGAUCACAUACAGUGAUCUUCGUCUUGUUUUGGCCAACAAAAUGAGCAAAUAAAAAAUAUUUAGACAAGGAUUUAAAUUCAUGAACAACACCUCACUUUGAAGUUUGAACACUCUCGACCAUUAAAUUACCUUACUUAAAUGUAUUAAGAAUAUUUACAAUAUAAUAUAUAGUCAUAUAAAAUAUUAUACACAAUAUAAUUGUUCAUCGAAGAUGUUCGCUUGAUUACCUUUGUAUAGUGUGAUUAUGCCUCUGGCUGCAAUGUCUUAUGUAUAUUUGAGCAUGUGAUGAAGUAAUAUAAUGCAGUUGUUGAAAACUCCAAUGAGUCAAUGACCUAUGUAAAUUGGACAAAGCAGAUGACAAUGUCAAGGAAAACAUCACCACGUUAUAUGGGCUACGUUCAUAUUGUACAUCGCGAAUUAUUACUUGUACCGAGCAUACGUAUUGUACAUUUUUGUUACUAGUAUCUUGCUUUUCUAAGUCAAUUUUUUAUAGCGCCUUAAUUUUCAACUUAUGAAGAAAAAAACAGUCAUAUCACUCAAAGUGUUUGUGUCAUUGAUUAGUAUUGUAUGUUGUAUUUGUAUGCUAACAAAGUAGUAACAUAUUUGGUCAAACUUCUAAAAUCAACUUAUUUUGAAAAGUAUUUCCUUUCAUAUGUACUUUUGGUGAGAAGGUAUUUGGCUAAUUAAAAUAAAAAAUACUUUUUUGAGCAGCCAUUAAUGUUUGAUUAAACUUUUAAAAAGUACUUUUAAGUGUAAUUUUGUCAAAAAUACUUUUCAAAUACUCUCGAUGAGAAACUACUUUUUCUAUUUCUCCAAAACUACUUAUGCUUCUGCUCAAAAAAAUAUUAUUUUUAAAAUUUUGGCCAAACAUUUCAACUUAAAAAAAUAAUAAUAACUUUUGGCGUUAAAGAAGCUUUGGCAAACAAGCUAAAGCUAUAGAUCUAGCUGAAACAAUUCAUAAUGGUGCAUUCCAGUUAUGAAUCAAACAAGGUACAUAAAAUCUUUUUCACUUCCUCAAAUCUAACUUAUGACUUAUAUAAUCUAGGCCAAAUACCUAUACGGCACUUAAACUUAGCUUCAGUUUUCAUUUUAACACUUUAACUAAGCCUAUCACCUAUUGAACACUUUAACCCAAAUCAAAGUAUGCCUAUUGAACACAAAAAACUUAGUCCCAAAAAAUAAAACAAAUGUGUGAAGCUCAAACGCGCUUAUGUGGAAAUAUAAUCAAUGAAAAGAUGCCAGAUCAUUAAAACAAGCCACAUCAGGGAAAAAAAAAAAAAGAAGCCAUGAUGUUAUUUUUUUGGUUGUAAAAAAGCCGUUGGAUCUUACUCGUGGUUGUUCAUCUUCUCCACUUCCAUCGUUGGUCAUCCUCUUUCUCCCUCCUCCCUUCUUCUUUUCCUUUCGUUCAUCGGCCCUUCGCUCAUCGGGAUCAAAUUUAAAACUGAUAGUCGGGCAAAUCAUUUUUAUUUUUGAAUUUCUUUGCUGUAACAAUAAAAAUUUUCAGAUCUGGGUUGAAAGAAGAUGGCAAAGCUGAAGAAGAUGGUGAGCGAAAUCUGGAAAAGUUGAAAAAUAAUGAAUAGAAUUUGGAGAAAAUCAGUCAUUGACGUAUUUAUUUUGCCCAAAUUUAUUGUUGGAGAAAAAAAUAUUCUUCUGUCCUUCUUUUGUCACAGUUCAGAAGCAAAAAUAGAGCAAUAAUGGAGAUGCAUACUUACAGAGGUGACAAUGGUGGAGAUAAGGUAAUUAUGGGUGGCCUUUACAAAAAAAGUCAAUUUUAAUUUAAACAAAAAAGAAAAGAAAAACAUGAUUUCAAAACCAUCAAAAUUCACGGGCCUAAGAGGGGUCGAAAUACAACUCUUUUACCAUGUCAACUUUUGUGUUCAAUAAGC
rnacentral:lncRNA from 1 species